AUUGAACGCUGGCGGCAUGCCUUACACAUGCAAGUCGAACGGGUCCUUCGGGACUAGUGGCGGACGGGUGAGUAACGCGUGGGAACAUACCCAAAGGUACGGAAUAGCCUCGGGAAACUGAGAGUAAUACCGUAUGUGCCCUUCGGGGGAAAGAUUUAUCGCCUUUGGAUUGGCCCGCGUUGGAUUAGGUAGUUGGUGGGGUAAUGGCCUACCAAGCCGACGAUCCAUAGCUGGUUUGAGAGGAUGAUCAGCCACACUGGGACUGAGACACGGCCCAGACUCCUACGGGAGGCAGCAGUGGGGAAUCUUAGACAAUGGGGGAAACCCUGAUCUAGCCAUGCCGCGUGAUCGAUGAAGGCCUUAGGGUUGUAAAGAUCUUUCAGAUGGGAAGAUAAUGACGGUACCAUCAGAAGAAGCCCCGGCUAACUCCGUG
rnacentral:rRNA from 1 species